rnacentral:rRNA from 1 species
UAGCCUACGGGGGGCAGCAGUGGGGGAUAUUGCACAAUGGGCGCAAGCCUGAUGCAGCGACGCCGCGUGAGCGAAGAAGUAUUUCGGUAUGUAAAGCUCUAUCAGCAGGGAAGAAAAUGACGGUACCUGACUAAGAAGCUCCGGCUAACUACGUGCCAGCAGCCGCGGUAAUACGUAGGGGGCAAGCGUUAUCCGGAUUUACUGGGUGUAAAGGGAGCGUAGACGGUGCAGCAAGUCUGAUGUGAAAGGUCGGGGCCCAACCCCGGGACUGCAUUGGAAACUGUUGAACUGGAGUACAGGAGAGG